rnacentral:rRNA from 1 species
GGGCGUACACACACGCUACAAUAGGUCUGUACAACAGGUUGCCAAGCCGCGAGGCGGAGCCAAUCCUAAAAGCAGGCCUCAGUUCAGAUUGUAGGCUGCAACCCGCCUGCAUGAAGAUGGAGUUGCUAGUAACCGCAGGUCAGCUAUACUGCGGUGAAUACGUUCCCGGGUCCUU